CUUGAGGGGGGGGGGGUCCCUCAGCCCCGAUUGUGAGAGGGUGUAGGCCAGGCUGAGGGAGCCCACUGGUGCACA
rnacentral:pre_miRNA from 1 species